CUAAAUUUGCGUAGAAGAAAUAAUCCAAGUUUUAAAAAGUUCCACUUAGUGGUCAUUUCUGUGAAGAAAAUAAAUAGCGCUGGAUGACAGUUGAGACUUACGUGAUUCAAAGGCAGUUACGCGAAGCUCUGGGGAAGAGCUUUCCAGGAGAGGGAAUGGCAGGUGCACAAGCCCCAAGGUAAGAAAGGGAAAGGCUAAGACCAGAAGGCAGGCUGAUAUGGAGGAAUCUUCCAGAAGAAGUCCAAAGGAUGAACUGAGACUGGACUUGAGGCAGGACCUUGUGAGCCCAGAUGGAAGUGGCAAUUGCCAAGUGGAGAAUAAGAAGAAAUGGAAAAGAAUGAAAAUAAGAAAGAUAAUAGGUGGAAGAGAGUCAGGCAGAGUGGAAGAAUCACAGAGCAGCACAGGACCCCGAGAUCCGCCCAUCAUCCAUUAACAAGUAUUCACGGAGCACCAAUACGGCGGGAAACUGGGAGGUGGAGCUUGCAGUGAGCCAAGAUCGCACCACUGCACUCCAGCGCGGGCGACCGAGAGAGACUCCGUCUCAAAAAAUUUCUAUUAGGCUGAAGGUCCCUACCAAUUAAAAAAAAAAAAAAAAAAAAAAAUUAAAAAAAAAUAUAAUAAAGCAUAAGAUAAUUAUAUUUUUGGAAAUGACACCUAACUUUAUGUAUGAUGAUGGUUUUCUUUUGAG
rnacentral:lncRNA from 1 species